rnacentral:rRNA from 1 species
AUUGAACGCUGGCGGCAGGCUUAACACAUGCAAGUCGAACGAGUGGCGGACGGGUGAGUAAUGCUUGGGAAACUGCCUGAUGGAGGGGGAUAACUACGGGAAACGGUAGCUAAUACCGCGUACCAUAGGAUGAGCCCAAGUGGGAUUAGGUAGUUGGUGAGGUAAAGGCUCACCAAGCCGACGAUCUCUAGCUGGUCUGAGAGGCUGACCAGCAACACGGGUACUGAUACACGGCCCAGACUCCUACGGUAGGCAGCAGUGGGGAAGAUUGCGUGAGGGGGGCAAUCGUAUGCAGCCAUGCCGCGUGUAUUAAGAAGGCCUUCGGGUUGUAAAGUUCUUUCGGUAGCGAGGCGUUAACUACAGAAGAAGCACCGGCUAACUCAGUGCCAGCAGCCGCGGUAAUAC